UUAAACUCAUCUGCUUGGUGAUCCCUCAAAAUUUCUCGUACAAGCCUGGGGUAAUUUUACACGACUACAAUUUGCCUAUUACUAACACAUCUGGCCGUUUCAAAUGCACAUAAUGUAUUAUUUUAAGAAACCCUGAAGAGGUAAAUGUCUGAAAAGAGAAGCCACCGAUACCCUGCAAAGAAAGGAGAGUGGAUAAACGCACACACAAACCUGGUGCGUCCGCGUAUGAGACUCUGCAAAGGAAAUAAAUAAUUUUAUCAUCGCCGCAGCGAAGCGAAAACAAUUUUCUUGGUUUUGAAUAGAUAUAAAUUAUCAAGCUGGCUCACUCUCCUUCAAAUCAGCAAAGUUUGACAGCUGGUCUUCAGCCCCCUUGGAGGACUGUCAGCAAACGGAUGGCAUCAGAACUGGCAAUGAGCAACUCCGACCUGCCCACCAGCCCUCUGGCUAUGGAAUAUGUUAAUGACUUCGAUCUGAUGAAGUUUGAAGUGAAGAAGGAGCCGGUGGAGUCCGAUCGCAACAACAGCCAGUGCAGCCGCCUGAUCGCCGGGGGAUCCCUCUCUUCCACCCCGAUGAGCACGCCUUGCAGCUCGGUGCCCCCUUCUCCAAGCUUCUCGGCGCCUAGUCCAGGCUCCGGGAGCGACCAGAAGGCACAUUUGGAGGACUUCUACUGGAUGACGGGUUAUCAACAGCAGUUGAACCCGGAGGCUCUGGGCUUUUGCCCCGAAGACGCCGUAGAGGCACUGAUCAACAGCACUCACCAACUUCAGACAUUCGAUGGCUAUGCUAGAGGGCAGCAGUUCGCCGGUGCAGGCGGAGCAGGAGGCACCAUGGGUGGGGAGGAGAUGGGAUCCGCAGCCGCUGUGGUUUCUGCAGUCAUCGCGGCUGCCGCAGCCCAGAACGGAGGUCCUCAUCACCAUCAUCAUCAUCACCAUCACACAGGGGCUCAUCACCAGACACCCGGGGUCCCCGCCAGUGUGAACUCAGGAGGAAGUCACCAACAUGCACAUUUGGACGACCGGUUUUCGGACGAUCAGCUGGUGACAAUGUCAGUGCGAGAGCUCAAUCGGCAGCUCCGGGGGGUCGGCAAAGAAGAAGUGAUCAGGCUGAAACAAAAGAGGCGGACCCUCAAAAACAGAGGCUAUGCGCAAUCCUGUCGCUACAAGAGGGUCCAGCAACGCCACAUCCUGGAAGGCGAGAAGACACAGCUUAUUCAGCAAGUUGAUCACCUCAAACAAGAAAUCUCGCGACUAGUUCGGGAAAGGGACGUCUACAAGGAAAAAUAUGAGAAGCUCGUCGGAAAUGGCUUCAGAGAAAACGGGUCUAGCAGUGACAACACCCCUUCAUCUCCAGAAUUUUUCAUGUCCUGGCCAAUGAGACGUAAUCCCUGUGGCAUGCCCACUGUGGAAUGAGAACCCUGCUACAGGUGAGCAGCCCAGAUCUAUCACCUCCGAAACCUCCAGCAAGGUACACUAUGAGGCCUAAAAAUCAUACAGGAGACUCGUUCCAUGAAGACCCGGGUUUGGAGAACGGCUGAACUUCAGAUCUUCUGAUUCAGAAACAAACAAGCAAAAACAGAAAUAAAGGCUGCAUUACACAUUUUAAGGUAGUGUGAAUCCAUUAUAUUGACAGAUCCUUCGGCUUUUCAAUCUGUAGCUUAAGCUGAGGCAUGAGGAAUUGGAUUUUUUAAAAUAAGGGCAUCAAUUCUAAAUGCAUACAUUUUCCUUAUAUAAUUACUUGAGCCACCUGAAAUCCUUCACCUUUUCGAGAGAGAGAGAGAGAUAGAGCGCAAAGAGCCUGUGUAACUAUGAGACACCUUUAAAG